GGGGCCGUCACGGUUUCGACUGUAUGGAAAGGGGAAGAUAAAAGCGUGCCGAAGUCGCUCGGGCUUCGUAAAAAACGGGCAAAAACAGUAACUGACAACAAUAGUUACAAUCGCGGUUACGCGUUAGCGGCUUAAUUUACGCCGCUUGUCACACUUGCUAUCCUAUCGGGCAAGAGCGUGGCAUCAUCAAGAUAGGGAACUUUUCCGUCGCUUUGAAGGCGGCGGCGGAAAAGACUCAAGCCGACUGCGGUUUGCGUCUUGCGUCUUACCAUAGCGCAAACUCAAGUUUAAGAUAAGACUGCGCACGGAGAAGGUCUUUCUGUUUUUAUGCAACACGCGAGUUCGACUCUCGCCGGUUCCACCA
rnacentral:tmRNA from 1 species